GUUAAUAUAGUCCUUCGCAUAGCCUUUACCUUUAGAGCCUUUAAACGUAAAAGUAUCUCUUCAGACAGUUGAGAUAAGAUCCAGUAUUUUCUGGGAAGCAGCGGGCUGAAUGUGAGCACAACCUAAAUGUGAAAACUAUAUAGUCCACUUCUUAGUGAUAUUAUAAUGUACUAUCUUCCAGUUUUUGUGAUUCCCACAUCGGUUCUUCUGGUUUCCAUGGUCCUUUUGGUUCUUCUGGCUUCUUGAUUUUUCUAAUUUCCUACGUUUUUCUGCUUCUGUUUGUUUUCUGGUCCUCUUGGUCGUCUAGUUCCCUUGCGUUUUUUUGGUUAUCUGGGUUCUUCUUGUUCUCUUGAACCUUUGAUUUUCUUGAUAUUUCUGGUUUUUUUGGUGUGUUCCUUCUGGUCCUAUAGGUCUUCUAGUUCCCUUUGUUCUUUUGGCGUUUUUUGGUUCUUCUGUUUUUUUCGGCUCUUCUGGUUGUUUUGGCAGUCUUGGCUUUCAUGUUCUCUUGGUUCUUUAGGUUUUCUUGGCUUUUAGUUCUCUUGGUUCUCUCGUUUCUUCUCGUUCUCCAGGUUUUCCUGUUUUUUUCUGGUGUUAAACACAAAGGACAUUACUAAUCACAGGUCGGUUGGGAAAGCUGUUACUCCUUAUAGUUUUUGAGCUUGAUUCUUUGUUCCUCUGGUUUACUUGGUUGUUCUGGUUCUAUUGGUACUUCUGGUUACAUUGGUAUUCUAGUCUUUUUGGUUCUCUUGGUUUUCUUGUCUGUUGGCCUUUUGGUUCUAACGGUUCUUCUAGUUUUGUCGGUUCUUCAGGUCCUGUCGAUCUUCUAGUUCUCUUUGUUUAUCUGGUUUUCGUGGUUUUUGUGAUCCUUUUGGCCUUCCAGUUUUCCUGGUUCUUUUGAUUUUCUUCAUUUUUCUGAUUUUCUUGGUCUUCAAGUUCACCUGAUUCUUCGGGGCUUUUU